rnacentral:piRNA from 1 species
GGCCCUGAUCGAGGAGUAUUGAGG